ACAUGUCCGGAAUCCGAAGAGAUUUGGGAGUGCUCGCAAGAGAGCCGGAACACAGGUGCUGCAUGGCUGUCGUCAGCUCGUGUCGUGAGAUGUUGGGUUAAGUCCCGCAACGAGCGCAACCUUGUCAUUAGUUGCCAUCAUUUGGUUGGGCACUCUAAUGAGACUGCCGGUGACAAACCGGAGGAAGGUGGGGAUGACGUCAAGUCCUCAUGGCCCUUAUGGGUAGGGCUUCACACGUCAUACAAUGGUCGGUACAGAGGGUUGCCAACCCGCGAGGGGGAGCUAAUCCCACAAAGCCGAUCGUAGUCCGGAUCGCAGUCUGCAACUCGACUGCGUGAAGUCGGAAUCGCUAGUAAUCGUGGAUCAGCAUGUCACGGUGAAUACGUUCCCGGGUCUU
rnacentral:rRNA from 1 species